UACGGGGGGGCAAGCGUUGUUCGGAAUUACUGGGCGUAAAGGGCUCGUAGGCGGCCAACUAAGUCCGACGUGAAAUCCCCAGGCUUAACCUGGGAACUGCGUCGGAUACUGGAUGGCUUGAAUUCGGGAGAGGAUGCAGAAUUCCAGGUGUAGCGGUGAAAUGCGUAGAUAUCUGGAGGAAUACCGGUGGCGAAGGCGGCAUCCUGGACCGACAUUGACGCUGAUGAGCGAAAGCUAGGGAGCAACGGG
rnacentral:rRNA from 1 species